CCCUUAGAUGUUCUGGGCCGCACGCGCGCUACACUGACGAUGGCAACGAGUUUUUCCUUCGCCGAAAGGUGUGGGUAAUCUUUUGAAACAUCGUCGUGCUGGGGAUAGAUCAUUGCAAUUUUUGAUCUUGAACGAGGAAUUCCUAGUAAGCGCGAGUCAUCAGCUCGCGUUGAUUACGUCCCUGCCCUUUGUCCACACCGCCCGUCGCUACUACCGAUUGAAUGGUUUAGUGAGGACUCCUGAUUGGCGCCGCCGCCCCGGCAACGGAGCAGCGGACUGCCGAAAAGUUGUUCAAACUUGAUCAUUUAGAGGAAGUAAAAGUCGUAACA
rnacentral:rRNA from 1 species